UACGAAGGGGGCUAGCGUUGUUCGGAUUUACUGGGCGUAAAGCGCACGUAGGCGGUUUGUUAAGUCAGGGGUGAAAUCCCAGAGCUCAACUCUGGAACUGCCUUUGAUACUGGCAAGCUCGAGUCCGGAAGAGGUAAGUGGAACUCCUAGUGUAGAGGUGGAAUUCGUAGAUAUUAGGAAGAACACCAGUGGCGAAGGCGGCUUACUGGUCCGGAACUGACGCUGAGGUGCGAAAGCGUGGGGAGCAAACAGG
rnacentral:rRNA from 1 species